ACUCCUGCAUGAAGGCUUCUGGAGAAGUAGGAAGGCUUAGAAUGUCGCUCACUCAUCUUUCACUUCCUGUAGCAACUGUUUCGUGCUCUUAAGUCUGGUAUGUUUUGUUUUCUUGAAUUUUAAGGUGUUCAGACUUAAUCUUCUCUCGGCUUGGUUUUGGGGUUCAUUAAGCGUUUCUCUUUUCCUUCCUAAAGCUUUACUAAAUUUCUUAUUAUAAUCUUUUCAUGAAGUACUGGCUUUCCAUGUCUUCUUUUUUUUUUUUUUUGGAGACAGGGUCUCACUCUGUCGCCCAGGCUGGAAUGCAGUGGCGUGAUCUUGGCUCACUGCAGCUUCCGCCUCCCGGGUUGGUUCAAGUGAUUCUCGUGCCUCAGCCUCCGAGUAGCUGGGAUUACAGGUGUGCGCCAGAAGACCCAGCUAAUUUUUGUAUUUUUAGUAGAGAUGGGAUUUUGCCAUGUUGGCCAGGCUGGUCUCAAACUCCUGACCUCAAGUGAUCCACCCACCUCGGCCUCCCAAAGUUCUGGGAUUACAGGCGUGAGCCACUGAGCCAUGCCUUCUUUACAUUCUUUUCUUCCUCGGUUCCCCCAAAUCAGGGGCAGAUUUUCUCUCAUGUUUGCUUCAUAUCCUUCUGAUUGUAGGUGCGUCCAUGUCUGUCUGCACCUGGAUGGCAUCGCCUCUCCAUCUCGAGGACGCCAUCUGGAGGGGGCAGGGCAGGGUGGCUGAUCCCCUGCAGGCCCCAGCCCUGUGACUCAGCCACCAAAGCCCAAUCUCCAGCCCAAGGGAACCAAGGGUAUCUUCUUCAUCAUCCUUCCAGUCCUCUUCCCCUUCGCCGGGCUCCAGCCUCAGCUUGGCCCUCACCUCCACUCCUCUCCCCUCUCACCCCUGCCCCCAUUCCACUUCAUCUCCCUCCCUCACCUUAGGGCACCUCUGCCUGCUCCUUAUGCUGGAGUUGAUUUUCUACAAUCUCAACUCAGCCAAGAGAUCUCAUCACCUAAAAAAGUGAUGUGAACCUUAAGAUCACAUAUGUCAUAUGGGGGUGAAGGUGGGGGUGGGAGGCACUAAGGGCAGGGCAGCAGGUGGGUCAGCCCCAGGUGCUGGCAAUAGAUGGGGGUCCAGGUCAGCAGAGAACCUAAAAACAAUAAAGCAACUGAUUAGCCCGUCUCUUUAUUGUAAAACCCUGUGCUGGCAAUCCUAAACAAUGUUGGUGAUAAAAUGUUCCUCUCUCAAAAUCUUUUAGUUAGGAUCUAAGUUUUAUAUAAUUGCUUAGGUCAUUGUUGAGAGUUUCUUUCUUUCUUUCUUUCUUUCUUUCUUUCUUCCUUCUCUCUUUCUCUCUUUUCUUUUCUUUCUUUUUUGAAAUGUAGUCUCGCUCUGUCGCCAGGCUGGAGUGCAAUGAAGCAAUCUCAGCUCACAGCAACCUCCACCGCCUAGGUUCAAGCGAUUCCCCUGCCUCAGCCUCCAAAGUAGCUGGGAUUAGAGGCAUGCGCCACCAUGCCCAGCUAAUUUUUGUAGUUUUAAUAGAGGCGGGGUUUCACCAUGUUGACUAGGCUGGCCUGGAACUCCUGACCUCAUGUGAUUCGCCCGCCUCAGCCUCCUGAAGUGCUGGGUUUAUAGGCGUGAGCCGCUGUGCCCAGCCUUGAGUUUCAAUUAAAAAAAAACUAAAAAACCCCUCUAUCUGUGGGGAGGGAGAGCAUCAGGAUAAAUAGCUAAUUCAUGCUGGGCUUAAUGCCUAGGUGAUAGGUUGAUAGGUGCAGCAAACCAUCAUGGCACAUGUUUACCUAUGUAACAAAACUGUAUAUCCUGCACAUGUACCCAAGAACUUAAAUGAAAUUAUUAACCCUCUAUAUCCUUCAAAUUAGCACAUUUUAAUUAGUUAUCCUUUAUAUUCUACAUGGAAGCUAAUUCGGAAAAUUACUCCCCCCUCAACAAACACAGCUACUUAUUUGGAGAGUAGGUCCCUAAAGAUUUGAAAUGCUUUCUGCUCUCUUCAGUGUGGUUUGUGUCUUUAGCCCCACCGUACAACAUACUUCUGCAUUUAGUGAAUAUGAAAUAAAUGAUGGUACACAGAGUGUAUAGAAGUGAUUGUAUGCUGUGC
rnacentral:lncRNA from 10 species